rnacentral:rRNA from 1 species
UACGAGUGCCCCAAGCGUUAUCCGGAAUUAUUGGGCGUAAAGGGUGUGUAGGUGGUUUUGUUAGUCUUCUGUUAAAGCUCCCGGCUUAACCGGGAAAGUGCAGAGGAAACGGCAAGACUAGAGGAUGUGAGGGGUCUAUGGAACUCAUGGUGUAGGGGUGAAAUCCGUUGAUAUCAUGGGGGAACACCAAAAGCGAAGGCAAUAGACUGGCGCAUUCCUGACACUGAAACACGAAAGCGUGGGUAGCGAAUGGG